AUCACUGACAGAUGUCACCAGUGCAUGGGGACCCUGCUGAGCCAGAGACCACUACGCCUGCCUUCUCACUGGCAUCAGCAAGAGGAGCUCACCCAAGAUGUGUGCCGGCUACAGGUCCAUGACCUUCACAGUGGAUCUGCUGGUCCAGCCUUAAUCAGAGGACAAAGGACGGAUGACAACCAACUGGAUCUUGUGAAUCACCUUGGGCUCCAAAGCCAAGUCCCACAGCUGAAAUAAUGGGAAGCCACAAUGGCCCAAGCCCAGUACUGUACAGAUGAAAGUCUUAUUUAUGUGAAAGAUAUAUCUGCAGAGGGAGCAAUAAACUGCAAAGCAAAGUAUGAAGGUUUGUUGCAAAUGCUGUAAAGUUUUAUAUUCCUGAAAACUAGGGAUAAAAAAAAU
rnacentral:lncRNA from 1 species